rnacentral:rRNA from 1 species
AAAAGUCGUAACAAGGUUUCCGUAGGUGAACCUGCGGAAGGAUCAUUAUCGUACAAAAUGUGAGAGAGGCAUGCAAGGGCUGUCGCUGACUCCAAGUCGUGCACGCCGGAGUGUGCCCUCUCACAUAAUAAUCCAUCUCACCCUUUGUGCACCACCGCGUGGGCACCCUUUGGGAUCAGACUGAUCUCGGAGGAUGCUCGCGUUUUCACACAAACCCCCCUUUUAAAAGUGUAGAGUGACCUCAUUUAUGCGCUAACCCGCAAUCAAUACAACUUUCAACAACGGAUCUCUUGGCUCUCGCAUCGAUGAAGAACGCAGCGAAAUGCGAUACGUAAUGUGAAUUGCAGAAUUCAGUGAAUCAUCGAAUCUUUGAACGCACCUUGCGCCCCUUGGUAUUCCGAGGGGCACACCCGUUUGAGUGUCGUGAAAAUCUCAACCUCCUUGGUUUCUUCUGGAGACCAAAGGAGGCUUGGACUUUGGAGGCAUUUGCUGGCAUCUUCUCUCUUUUGAAGGUCAGCUCCUCUUAAAUGAAUUAGCGGGGUCCUCUUUGCCGAUCCUUGACAUGUGAUAAGAUGUUUCCAUGCCUUGGUUUCUGGCUCUGUUGCUUUUGGGACCCGCUUCUAACUGUCUUGACCUUGCGUCGAGACAAUGUUCGAGCUCGUCUCCCUUCUCGGGAGACACUCUCGA